rnacentral:rRNA from 1 species
UACGAAGGGGGCGAGCGUUGUUCGGAAUUACUGGGCGUAAAGGCGCGUAGGCGGCGAACCAAGUCAGAUGUGAAAGUCCUGGGCUUAACCUGGGGACUGCAUUUGAUACUGGUUUGCUUGAAUUCGGGAGAGGAUAGCGGAAUUCCCAGUGUAGAGGUGAAAUUCGUAGAUAUUGGGAAGAACACCGGUGGCGAAGGCGGCUAUCUGGACCGACAUUGACGCUGAGGCGCGAAAGCGUGGGGAGCAAACAGG